rnacentral:rRNA from 1 species
AUUGAACGCUGGCGGCAUGCUUUACACAUGCAAGUCGAACGGCAGCGCGGGCUUCGGCCUGGCGGCGAGUGGCGAACGGGUGAGUAAUGCAUCGGAACGUGCCCAGUAGUGGGGGAUAGCCCGGCGAAAGCCGGAUUAAUACCGCAUACGACCUGAGGGUGAAAGCGGGGGACCGAAAGGCCUCGCGCUAUUGGAGCGGCCGAUGUCGGAUUAGCUAGUUGGUGGGGUAAAGGCUUACCAAGGCGACGAUCCGUAGCUGGUCUGAGAGGACGACCAGCCACACUGGGACUGAGACACGGCCCAGACUCCUACGGGAGGCAGCAGUGGGGAAUUUUGGACAAUGGGGGCAACCCUGAUCCAGCCAUGCCGUGUGCGGGAAGAAGGCCUUCGGGUUGUAAACCGCUUUUGUUCGGGAAGAAAUCCUCUGGGCUAAUACCCCGGGGGGAUGACGGUACCGGAAGAAUAAGCACCGGCUAACUACGUG